rnacentral:misc_RNA from 1 species
AAAGCAUUUGCAAGGCACUUAAGGUUUGUUUUCUUGUUUUAGAAAUGAUUCUCUCCCUUCAUCUCAGUGUAAUGACUGAAGGUGUCACAGCCUUGAAAGUUAACUUUCCUUUUUAACAGACUAAACUAAUGCCACCAUGAAGCUGGCCUGAUUAGUGGAAUUCUUCACAUAGCGUCAGUCGCUCUCCAAGCUUGAAUAUGUGAUGUAUUUGUUCAUAUAUUCUUCAUUGUGUUGACUUAUAUAUGAAAUUAGCUAGUGUAGCUUCCACGAGACAUGCAUGCAUGCACAUAAGCACAUAAUUGAGAUAUAAGGGAACCAAGUUGCGCACCUUUUUUAUGGUCUCAGCAUUUUGUUUUGGAGUACCUGAAAUGUAAAAUGGUGCUUUUCAAGAUAUAUGCUUAAUUGCAGGCAGAGGUUAGAUUUUUUUUUUUUUUGGGUUUUAAAGCCUGGGUUAAAAAAUGGAGGUAGCCCUCUGCCUUUUUCAACCAAACGCUCCCACUCCUUUCUAAAAGAAGGGGGAAAAAUGUGAGAGAUGUCGAUCUUAAAUUCUGAUGCUGGGACCAGGAGAGCUAAGAUUAGAUUUCUCUAUGGCUAUUUUCCAUGAAAACUUAUGUUUCCUAAUAAGGUUGGGUUUUGACUUCUAAUCAAGGUUACUUGAUUUUGGACAAUUUUCAGGCAUCUGUUGUUAUCUGGCAUUUUCAUUUGUGAGGGACAGGACAAUUUUCUUUAAUUUAAAAAAAAAAAAAAUGGCUGCCCCUUGUUUAAUAUAUUUAUAUCUUCCCUUGAUUUUUAUUUAUU